AGGCAACCCUUUGAUUCACAUGUAGCGAC
rnacentral:piRNA from 1 species